rnacentral:rRNA from 1 species
UACGAAGGGGGCUAGCGUUGCUCGGAAUCACUGGGCGUAAAGCGCACGUAGGCGGCUUUUUAAGUCAGGGGUGAAAUCCCGGAGCUCAACUUCGGAACUGCCUUUGAUACUGAAAAGCUUGAGUUCGGGAGAGGUGAGUGGAACUGCGAGUGUAGAGGUGAAAUUCGUAGAUAUUCGCAAGAACACCAGUGGCGAAGGCGGCUCACUGGCCCGAUACUGACGCUGAGGUGCGAAAGCGUGGGGAGCAAACAGG